GCCGGAUUAAUACCGCAUACGAUCUGCGGAUGAAAGCGGGGGAUCUUCGGACCUCGCGCUGCAGGGGCGGCCGAUGGCAGAUUAGCUAGUUGGUGGGGUAAAGGCCUACCAAGGCGACGAUCUGUAGCUGGUCUGAGAGGACGACCAGCCACACUGGGACUGAGACACGGCCCAGACUCCUACGGGAGGCAGCAGUGGGGAAUUUUGGACAAUGGGGGCAACCCUGAUCCAGCAAUGCCGCGUGUGUGAAGAAGGCCUUCGGGUUGUAAAGCACUUUUGUCCGGAAAGAAAUCCUUUGCCCUAAUACGGCGGGGGGAUGACGGUACCGGAAGAAUAAGCACCGGCUAACUACGUGCCAGCAGCCGCGGUAAUACGUAGGGUGCAAGCGUUAAUCGGAAUUACUGGGCGUAAAGCGUGCGCAGGCGGUUCGCUAAGACAGAUGUGAAAUCCCCGGGCUUAACCUGGGAACUGCAUUUGUGACUGGCGGGCUAGAGUAUGGCAGAGGGGGGUAGAAUUCCACGUGUAGCAGUGAAAUGCGUAGAGAUGUGGAGGAAUACCGAUGGCGAAGGCAGCCCCCUGGGCCAAUACUGACGC
rnacentral:rRNA from 1 species